CAGUAGCCGCGGGAAAACGGAGGGUGCAAGCGUUAAUCGGAAUUACUGGGCGUAAAGCGCACGCAGGCGGUCUGACAAGUCAGAUGUGAAAUCCCCGGGCUUAACCUGGGAACUGCAUUUGAAACUGUCAGGCUGGAGUCUUGUAGAGGGGGGUGGAAUUCCAGGUGUAGCGGUGAAAUGCGUAGAGAUCUGGAGGAAUACCGGUGGCGAAGGCGGCCCCCUGGACAAAGACUGACGCUCAGGUGCGAAAGCGUGGGGAGCAAACAGGAUUAGAUACCCGGGUAGUCCCUGUCUCUUAUAC
rnacentral:rRNA from 1 species